ensembl:lncRNA
UUUGCUUUGCUCUUCUUUUGUCUCUCAUGUGACCCAUUUUAUCUGUUUACCCUGCUACAGCAGGGAGACAGCUGGGCCUCUGGAGAGCCUGAUUCCUGGCCAACAGCAGGAGGAGAGGCUGGCUGAUGUGCCACUCACCGAUCUUCAAGCAAACAUCAGACUCACCUACAGGGUUCCAGCCGAUUUUGGCCUGCUGGUUGUUGGGGUGGUUGUCAUGGCAACAGGUGUGGUUCAUAGGCAGAGCCAAACAUUUGAUACCACUAUUACUACUGUACUGGGAUCAGUGGGACAGCUAGUUAGACACUGAGAAUUGAACUCAACAUUCAUGACCUUCAGGGAGGGCGGCCCACAACAACAUGCUUCUUGGCACAGGAAAUGGUUAGAGAUAAAUUAAUUAUGUAUUUAUUUAUUUUACUGGCACUUGAAAUAGCAGGAGAUUUAGAAAAAAUGUGUGGCAAUACUGAAGCUGGUAUUGUCACAAUAUGUAAUGGCACCUGAAAUCAAUGUUUUUUUUUUUUGUUUUUUUUUUGCUGGAAUCAGAUUAUGUGUAUAAAAUGGAAUUAUAUUUUGAAACUGUUUCCCUGUUUAAAGCAGCUAAGAGGCUUGUACGCUGAAAGCGAUGGUGUGACAAUCUCUCUCUCUCUCUCUCAUUAGUGUGUGUGUGUGUGUGUGUGUUUAAGAAACAGAGAGCUAAGUGUGCAUAACUGGUCUGCAGAUCAGGAAAUUAUUAAGGGGUAAUAUAUCCUAAAAAUAUCUCUUUCAGGGCAGUGUUUUUUUAAACUCUGUUUGGUCUAAAGACGCAAAUUAAACACAGAGGUCAUUGUAUUUUCUUUAGAAUGCUUUAUAUGUGAAAUACUUUGCUCAUACCUGCUAGUUAACAGUGCUUGGGUAAGGGAUGUUGGGGACAGAAAUAGUAAGAGUAUAUAUGACCUGAGGCUGGGGGUGAUCAUAAAAUGUUAUCAUAAGAUGAUUAAAUGCAAUUUUGCUGUAAUAAUAUAAUAUUUCAAACCUUUUAUGCUUGACAGCUUUCUCUGUUUCUCUGAAAGGUUCCUGUUUCCUCAUGUCUAAGAGAACCAGAGGACAAGCUCUGCCCUGUCAAACUGAAUCUGCUCCAUCUCCUUCAGUCUGGGACAAUAAGAAUGUCUCCACUAAGAUCCUGGAUCACUGACAAACAAAGCACUGCACUGGAGUGACAGAAAAGUGAUGACAGGCUGGCUAUAUCCCCUGCUGGUGCGUGACUGCUCAAGUUUGAUGCACAUCAUUCAACUUGCCUCUUUAUUUGGUUUUCUUUAAAAU